ACACUUUUGGACUCUCAAGACCAGAAGCGUCCUCUCUGGGACUAUCCUGGCAGGUUCCGAAAGAACAACAGUGUGGAGAAAUUGAUCCAGAUUACCAUGGGAAAUUGGAUUGCUUCUACAAUGGAGAGCACACUUCUUCAGGAUUCCAGCAUAUACUGAAGACCAGCCAAGACAUGCAGAUUCAUGGACUGAACAACUACUGAAUUCUUUGAUCUGUUCAUAGGCAGCCUUUAUUGGAUUAGCUUGACCAUAGCCUGUAAGUCAU
rnacentral:lncRNA from 1 species